UCCUUCUCCCCUGCGUCUCCUUCUUUCUUGUUCCUCCUUUUCGUCCCAGCCCAGAAAGAGACCAAGAGAAAGAGGAGAGCGCGCGCGAGAGAGAGACAACUGAUCCAAGAGAGAACAACGGAAUCGGUUCCCCCCUCUUCACAACAAAUUGCAAAAAGAGGAGGCAAUAAAAGUUCGUGUGACCAAAGCAAGUGAAGUUAGUGAAAGAGAAAAGAUUUGGUGGAACUUCUGAACUGGUUGCGGAGUUGGUCUCACUAAAUGGAUUCAAAGCUGCGUAUGCAAUAAAAGAUAUAUAUGGAGCAGAAGGACCCUGAGGAUGGAUGGUCUUCCCUUCUUUCUUCACCUGUUUACUUUGAAUACAUUGUUAUUGACAUCUAGAUGUUAUGCGUGUCAGAUACAUUGUUAUUUGGAAACUUUGACAUGAGUUGUAAAUUUGCAGAAUAGUGGUCUUCCUUUAGUCUAGUGUACGUAUUUGUGUUUAUAGUGUAUUCAAAAUUUCCUUGAGUCUAGUGUAUUUGUGUUUAUACUUUAUAGUGAUUAACAUGGCCGGGUUCUUGUUAUAGCGUA